rnacentral:rRNA from 1 species
AGUGAACGCUGGCGGUAGGCCUAACACAUGCAAGUCGAACGGCAGCACAGUAAGAGCUUGCUCUUACGGGUGGCGAGUGGCGGACGGGUGAGGAAUACAUCGGAAUCUACUUUUUCGUGGGGGAUAACGUAGGGAAACUUACGCUAAUACCGCAUACGACCUACGGGUGAAAGCAGGGGAUCUUCGGACCUUGCGCGAUUGAAUGAGCCGAUGUCGGAUUAGCUAGUUGGCGGGGUAAAGGCCCACCAAGGCGACGAUCCGUAGCUGGUCUGAGAGGAUGCUCAGACACACUGGAACUGAGACACGGUCCAGACUCCUACGGGAGGCAGCAGUGGGGAAUAUUGGACAAUGGGCGCAAGCCUGAUCCAGCCAUACCGCGUGGGUGAAGAAGGCCUUCGGGUUGUAAAGCCCUUUUGUUGGGAAAGAAAAGCAGCAGGUUAAUACCCCGCUGUUCUGACGGUACCCAAAGAAUAAGCACCGGCUAACUUCGUG